rnacentral:lncRNA from 10 species
ACCGCACCGCUGAACGGACUCCCGGUGCCAGCAACAUCAUCAAUGCAGAGUGACAAGGCCUGACGCCAUCAUUGCCCCAGGCAGCAGGAAGCUGGCUCAAGACCUGCUCAGGCUGUUUUCCCCUGCACUCACCUUGCGCUCCCAGAUCCUGGCCUUCCUCCUGUGGCGCGGUCUCAGGUCCGAACCCUCCUGCUUCUUGCGGACUCCUUCUGGCUGCCAAUUGCAGACACUGUUGAGCAAAUCAUCAGGGGAGCAGCAAGUGUACAGGCAGUUUGAAGAGCAGAGCCUUGGACCAGAGGAUCUCAAGUAUGUGUGCUGCAGACCCUUCUCGCUGCCUGAAGAAGUCCAGGGACUCCUCCCCAGAAUAAUGUUUUAAAUGCAUAAAAUAAAACACUUGAGAUUAUAAAGGAAACAAGCC